rnacentral:rRNA from 1 species
GGAAUAUUGCGCAAUGGCCGACAGGCUGACGCAGCGACGCCGCGUGUGGGAGGAAGCCCUUCGGUGUGUAAACCACUGUCAGGAGGGAAGAAACUCGGACGCUCGAACAGGGCGAUCGAUUGACGGUACCUCCAAAGGAAGCGCCGGCUAACUCCGUGCCCGCAGCCGCGGUAAGACGGAGGGCGCAAGCGUUGUUCGGAAUCACUGGGCGUAAAGCGCACGCAGGCGGUUUCUUAAGUCCUCUGUUAAAUCCCGGGGCUCAACCCCGGAGGUGCAGAAGAUACUGAGAGACUAGAGACCGGUAGAGGCUAGCGGAAUUCCUGGUGUAGCGGUGGAAUGCGUAGAUAUCAGGAGGAACACCGGUGGCGAAGGCGGCUAGCUGGGCCGGUUCUGACGCUCAUGUGCGAAAGCGUGGGGAGCAAAC